rnacentral:tRNA from 1 species
AGCAGCGUGGUGUAACGGCAACAUUCCCGGCUCAUAACCGUGGAGAUUAGCGGUUCAAAUCCGCUCGCUGCAACCA